CAACCUAAUUCUAGAACAUUUCCAUCCCAAUCCUCUGAGGAUUCUGAUUCAGCUUUAAUAUUAUUAAAGAUGAAUGAAAAUAAUCCUCCUGGAAAGUACGCUUAAAAAUAAGCAUACCCUGGAAUUCUCUUGUGGCACAGUGGUUUUAGGAUAUGGCAUUGUCACUGCAGCAGCUUGGGUUACUGCUGUGGCACAGGUUUCAUCCAUGGUCAAGAAACUUCUAUAUGCCAUGAAUGCAGCCCCCCCUCCCAAAAAAAAAGCAUACUCUUUGACCCAGCUAUUUCAUUUUUAGGAGGAGGACAUCAAUGACAACAUGAUUCCUCAAAGCUACGGCUUACUAAGCACACAAUGGCAAGGUCUGUCUUCUCACAUCCUCAUACCAACUCCAUGAGACAGCUGUUACAAUCAUCGUCACGUUUCAGGAGCUGCCUGCAGUGCUUGGCCAGCGUGGAAGAGGGCAGUGCAGUGGCUUUCUAACUGAGGGCAAAAAUCUUCCACCGGCUGCUGAGAGUGCUCUGCCAAGGAAGUUUGAGGACGACUAUUUAUGGGUCUUUCUUCAACUGCAUCAGUUGUGGCAUUUGAGAAACUGAUGUUGAGCUAAAGCUACGAGUGCAAAAAGCCUUUUUUGGAGGAGUAUGGGGGAUUAGGAGAGAUACCUGGGAAAGAUAAAAA